rnacentral:lncRNA from 1 species
AAAUACAUUUAUCCUGACAUUUUGAUCCUAAAUUAAACUACUUGUUUUUAAUUUUGUAAAACCUCAACCUAAAUUACAUAUAUAUGAAAAUCUUUGAAUUAAUGUUCAAAUUUCUAAGACAUAUCAACCAAAACAAAACCUUAAUCAUAUCCUGUACUUUUAUUUAAUUCAAUUAUUAGAAAGAAUGUGAGAUGGGGAUACAUAAACAGAUACCACAUUCCCUACAAAAAGAUCUAAACAUAGAAUGCCUGGUUGUAAAUCUGUAAAACAAGAAAAAAAUGCCUUUCCAUAAAAAAAAUUCUUAUUGCACCUUAUAAAUUGAGGUUAUAGGUUAUAUGUUAACAAGAUAAGUAUAUGUUAGAUUAAUUUAUUAUAAUUAGUACUUUUCAUAUCUGAUGGAAUAAGUGACAAAAAAUUAUAUAAAAAAAGCGAUCUCAAGCUGAAAUAUUUGAGGAAAUUGCAAAUCAUUAUCAAUCAUUCAAAUAUCUAGCAGAUCAUAAAAGGCAAGCAUAAUAAAACAUGCUACAAAAACAAUUGAUUGUAAAUAACUGAACAUGUUUGAAAAUGUAAAAUGAUUUUUUGGGAGUAAUUUUUCCAAAAAUAUAGACUUUAUUUGAAUGAUUAAUCGAAUAGCAAAGAAUUACUCCUUAAGAGUUACUCUACUAAAAGGGCUAAAAACUGCAGAUUUCAUUACCACCAAGUUGACUCAAACUCUUUCAUAGUAUUCAUAACAACAUACUAAAAUUGCCAAAUUUCCCUAGUUAUUAAUAAUACACAUGGAAUAGUAAUUAAAUGUCAGUAUUUAGUUUGCAUUUUAGACUAGACCCCAUCUAAUUAACUAUAGAGAUGACAACCUCCAGCUAAAGGUAAAAUUAUAGACUACAUGCAAGCAGAUUCAAAUGAGAUUGAAUUUUUGUCUUGCAAGACAAUAAUAUAUCAACAAACUCAAUUGAUAACUAAUAAAUUAAACAUUGAUUUUUUUCAAAUAUUAACAAACCAAAUUGAAUAAUUUUCAAAUAAACAACAAUUUCAUGGAAUGCUUAAAAAAAAUAGUACAACAUAAAUAGAUAUACUUUAUAGCAAAUAUCUUAUAUUGCUCUUUAUAUUAUCACAGGAACAAGGAAGUAAAAUAAUUGAACGAGAGAUUCUUGUUAUGAACAGGGUAUACAUCAGCCUGGCAAUAUUACACUGAAACAACAACAUUUAUGGUAAGGGUUAUUCCAUUAAAAUGUAUUUGGGAGGGUAGGAAGGGAAGUUUAAUUAUUGAAUGUGGGUCAUGGUUCUUUUUUCAGUAUGCGUUUGUUUACUUUGUUCCCAUUAUGCAAAAUAAGCUUUAAAAAAUGGUUUUCUUGGUUGAAGGGAUAUUUUGAAAGUCUCUUCCUACUCUCUGCAAAAUACUUGACUGGAAUAGCCGUAACAGGUAUGUAAAUGGGCUAUCUUUUAUAAAUUGUUUGCUUAGAACUAGAAACCAGAUGCUCCGCAGGGCGCAGCUUUAUACGACCGUAGAGGUUGAACCCUGAACGGUUGGGGCAAGUAUGGACACAACAUUCAAGCUGGAUUCAGCUCUAAAUUUGGAAUUUG